rnacentral:rRNA from 1 species
UACGAAGGGGGCUAGCGUUGCUCGGAAUCACUGGGCGUAAAGGGUGCGUAGGCGGGUCUUUAAGUCAGGGGUGAAAUCCUGGAGCUCAACUCCAGAACUGCCUUUGAUACUGAAGAUCUUGAGUUCGGGAGAGGUGAGUGGAACUGCGAGUGUAGAGGUGAAAUUCGUAGAUAUUCGCAAGAACACCAGUGGCGAAGGCGGCUCACUGGCCCGGUACUGACGCUGAGGUGCGAAAGCGUGGGAAGCAAACAGG